CUGACCCAUGAUGCUGACUAGUGUUGUCCGAGUCAUGGAUCAUGAGUACAGGUCUGGAAGUCUGAGGUCCAC
ensembl:snoRNA